CCAGGGCAGCCGUGGGCAGCGGCAGCAGCAGCCAGAGGAGGGCCCCAGGCUGGCCUCAGCCUUU
rnacentral:miRNA from 1 species